ACAGUCCCAAAGGGAUAAGUCUACUCUGGCAGAGUAGAGAGGCGUGGCCACAGCAUCGCUUUCCCGAUUCAUAGCCUUCACAAGACCCUAGACUGCACAGAUCAUGGGAAGACGAAUGCAGAUGAGCAGUCAUGAUACCCUUGCUCGCCCACCCUCAGUUCCAGACAUACCAACACCUCCAGAUACUAACAGGUCAGGCACUACAAUGCCAGGAAUGGACUUGUAGGACCCAUGUCAGCAAGUUCUGAGUUCCAGCAACUCCAAGCAGCUGGGAUCCUGGCCUAGAAAACAAGGUUUCUCACUAAUACCAAAGGUGUUGGACCCGGAGCAAGAAGAACUCCAUCAUGGGUUCCCUCUAGACUCCCUCUGUGACCCCAAGUUCUAGACACCAGUGACAGACAGAUGAGUUUCCUCACUCUUCCUAAAUUGGGCUGGAUUACAGGAUGGCUUUUUGUUGGAAGA